GACGAACGCUGGCGGCGUGCUUAACACAUGCAAGUCGAACGGAAAGGCCCUGCUUUUGUUGGUUGCUCGAUUGGCGAGCGGGUGAGUAUCACGUGAGUAACCUCCCCUUGACUUUGGGAUAACUUCAGGAAACUGGGGCUAAUAUCCGAUAGGAGCUCCUGCUGCGUGUUGGGGGUUGGAAAGUGUCGGCGGUGGGGGAUGGACUCGCGGGUUAUGAGCUUGUUGGUGGAGUAGUUGCGCACCAAGGGUUUGACGGGUAGCCGGCAUGAGAGGGUGAACGGCCACAUGGGGACUGAGAGACGGAGCAGAAGCCAACGGGCGGCAGCAGGGGGGAAUAUUACGGAACGAGCGGGAGCGUGAUGCAACAGCGCCGGGUGCGGGAUGACGGCCUUCGGGUUAUAAACAGCUUUCGCAGGUGACGAAGCGGGCGUGACGGUAAUGGGUAAAGAAGCACCGGCUAACUACGUG
rnacentral:rRNA from 1 species